CGGGGCGUGGCGCCAGCCGCCCACUGGGGCUGAGGCCGCCUGGUUGGUUCCCGACUUUCGCUGGUACCCGAGUUUCUAAGCGUCCCGGAAGAUGCUGCAGAGUUAUUUGAGAGGCCCAGGAGACCCAUGAUGUAAUCUUCAGAAAAGAACAGAAGGUAAUGUCUGAGACAAACACAGAGAGAAAGAGCCAGUCCAGAACUUGUAUGUGCAAAUAGCUACGGAGAUAGAUUGGGUCCCCAAGGAGGUCUCAGUCUUGACCUAGUACACACUCAGCGUCCAGCAGUUUGUGAAGAUGAUCACUUAAGUUAAGACUCCAGCAUCUUUGCUCCAGGUCUCAAAGGAUUGAAAAUGGACAUCUGGAUUGUGUCAAGUUUCCACUUAGAGUCAAAUGUGACUGUGAUCCUUGUGCCGUGGGAAUGAAGAAAAGCACUCAGAUGGCGAUGUCUUGGAAACUCAGAAGAGCCUGUGUAGAUUUGCUUGCUCCCCUUUAGUUCCAGAGAACUCCGAAAUAAUGGUCUUAAAAAGGCUUCCCCUGGGGCAAAGGUGUUGGCUUCAGUUUUUCCUUCCACUAAUCCGUCUGCUUGUACAAGCUGCAAGUGUCCAUUGGAGGUUUGGUAUAAACCAUAUGGCGUAUUUUGGAAGCUCAUGAGAUGUGCAGCAUUACCCUGUAUGUCCCUGCCUCCUUGCCUUUCUUAUGCUGCUCUCUCUGCCUCAUUGCCCUUUCUCCCCUAAAUGGUACCAGGUUAAGAAAUACUACCACAAGCAGUCAUUUAUAAAUUCUAGCCUGGGAAAGAAAACAAAAAUCUUUAUGUUCAAUUCCAAAAUAUGUAACAGUUACCUACCCAGUCUGAAAUGUGGGGUGUACAUGACCAUUGUAUUGACGGAGUCAUUGUAAGUUCAGACUGACAGAAAGACCACACACAUGCUCUUUGGGUACAUCAAGCAGGGUUUCAUUCUCUAAGGCUACAAAAGGAAGUCAGGACAGUCACGAUAUACAUCCCAGAGGUCAGCAAUAUCAUUCAGGCCAGAUGGAGAUUCUAGCUCCUGGAAUCCUCACCACUGUGUACAUAGUUACAGAUGAUAAGACCCAAGUGAGAAUCUUAUCAGUCCUUCUGGGGAAUUAAUAGUCUUUCUCUUUACAUCUUGACUUACCUACCUAAGGCUGGAAUACUUCUCUAAGUAGAGUAGCCUGGGGAUGUGCUAGGGACCACUUCUUUGACACCAGAAGCACCUCCUUAAG